UGACCGAUAGUGAACCAGUACCGUGAGGGAAAGGCGAAAAGAACCCCGGAGAGGGGAGUGAAAUAGAACCUGAAACCGUAUGCGUACAAGCAGUGGGAGCCUACUUGUUAGGUGACUGCGUACCUUUUGUAUAAUGGGUCAGCGACUUAUAUUCAGUGGCAAGCUUAACCGUAUAGGGUAGGCGUAGCGAAAGCGAGUCUUAAUAGGGCGUUUAGUCGCUGGGUAUAGACCCGAAACCGGGCGAUCUAUCCAUGAGCAGGUUGAAGGUUAGGUAACACUGACUGGAGGACCGAACCCACUCCCGUUGAAAAGGUAGGGGAUGACUUGUGGAUCGGAGUGAAAGGCUAAUCAAGCUCGGAGAUAGCUGGUUCUCCUCGAAAGCUAUUUAGGUAGCGCCUCAUGUAUCACUCUGGGGGGUAGAGCACUGUUUCGGCUAGGGGGUCAUCCCGACUUACCAAACCGAUGCAAACUCCGAAUACCCAGAAGUGCCGAGCAUGGGAGACACACGGCGGGUGCUAACGUCCGUCGUGAAAAGGGAAACAACCCAGACCGCCAGCUAAGGUCCCAAAGUUGUGGUUAAGUGGUAAACGAUGUGGGAAGGCUUAGACAGCUAGGAGGUUGGCUUAGAAGCAGCCAUCCUUUAAAGAAAGCGUAAUAGCUCACUAGUCGAGUCGGCCUGCGCGGAAGAUGUAACGGGGCUCAAACCACACACCGAAGCUGCGGGUGUCACGUAAGUGACGCGGUAGAGGAGCGUUCUGUAAGCCUGUGAAGGUGAGUUGAGAAGCUUGCUGGAGGUAUCAGAAGUGCGAAUGCUGACAUGAGUAACGACAAUGGGUGUGAAAAACACCCACGCCGAAAGACCAAGGGUUCCUGCGCAACGUUAAUCGACGCAGGGUUAGUCGGUUCCUAAGGCGAGGCUGAAAAGCGUAGUCGAUGGGAAACAGGUUAAUAUUCCUGUACUUCUGGUUACUGCGAUGGAGGGACGGAGAAGGCUAGGCCAGCUUGGCGUUGGUUGUCCAAGUUUAAGGUGGUAGGCUGAAAUCUUAGGUAAAUCCGGGGUUUCAAGGCCGAGAGCUGAUGACGAGUCGUCUUUUAGAUGACGAAGUGGUUGAUGCCAUGCUUCCAAGAAAAGCUUCUAAGCUUCAGGUAACCAGGAACCGUACCCCAAACCGACACAGGUGGUCGGGUAGAGAAUACCAAGGCGCUUGAGAGAACUCGGGUGAAGGAACUAGGCAAAAUGGCACCGUAACUUCGGGAGAAGGUGCGCCGGCUAGGGUGAAGGAUUUACUCCGUAAGCUCUGGCUGGUCGAAGAUACCAGGCCGCUGCGACUGUUUAUUAAAAACACAGCACUCUGCAAACACGAAAGUGGACGUAUAGGGUGUGACGCCUGCCCGGUGCCGGAAGGUUAAUUGAUGGGGUUAGCGCAAGCGAAGCUCUUGAUCGAAGCCCCGGUAAACGGCGGCCGUAACUAUAACGGUCCUAAGGUAGCGAAAUUCCUUGUCGGGUAAGUUCCGACCUGCACGAAUGGCGUAACGAUGGCGGCGCUGUCUCCACCCGAGACUCAGUGAAAUUGAAAUCGCUGUGAAGAUGCAGUGUAUCCGCGGCUAGACGGAAAGACCCCGUGAACCUUUACUGUAGCUUUGCACUGGACUUUGAGCCUGCUUGUGUAGGAUAGGUGGGAGGCUUUGAAGCGUGGACGCCAGUUCGCGUGGAGCCAUCCUUGAAAUACCACCCUGGCAUGCUUGAGGUUCUAACUCUGGUCCGUGAUCCGGAUCGAGGACAGUGUAUGGUGGGCAGUUUGACUGGGGCGGUCUCCUCCUAAAGAGUAACGGAGGAGUACGAAGGUGCGCUCAGACCGGUCGGAAAUCGGUCGCAGAGUAUAAAGGCAAAAGCGCGCUUGACUGCGAGACAGACACGUCGAGCAGGUACGAAAGUAGGUCUUAGUGAUCCGGUGGUUCUGUAUGGAAGGGCCAUCGCUCAACGGAUAAAAGGUACUCCGGGGAUAACAGGCUGAUACCGCCCAAGAGUUCAUAUCGACGGCGGUGUUUGGCACCUCGAUGUCGGCUCAUCACAUCCUGGGGCUGAAGCCGGUCCCAAGGGUAUGGCUGUUCGCCAUUUAAAGUGGUACGCGAGCUGGGUUUAGAACGUCGUGAGACAGUUCGGUCCCUAUCUGCCGUGGACGUUUGAGAUUUGAGAGGGGCUGCUCCUAGUACGAGAGGACCGGAGUGGACGAACCUCUGGUGUUCCGGUUGUCACGCCAGUGGCAUUGCCGGGUAGCUAUGUUCGGAAAAGAUAACCGCUGAAAGCAUCUAAGCGGGAAACUUGCCUCAAGAUGAGAUCUCACUGGGAACUUGAUUCCCCUGAAGGGCCGUCGAAGACUACGACGUUGAUAGGCUGGGUGUGUAAGCGUUGUGAGGCGUUGAGCUAACCAGUACUAAUUGCCCGUGAGGCUUGACC
rnacentral:rRNA from 1 species